rnacentral:rRNA from 1 species
GACGUAGGGGGCAAGCGUUAUUCGGAAUUAUUGGGCGUAAAGCGCUCGUAGGCGGGACGGGAAGUCCGUGAAGAAAGACCUGGGCUCAACUCAGGGACCGGCACGGAUACUCUCGUUCUUGAGGCAAUCAGAGGGUGAUGGAAUUCCCGGUGUAGCGGUGAAAUGCGCAGAUAUCAGGAGGAACACCAAUGGCGAAGGCAGCUCACUGGGACGGUAUUGACGCUGAGACGCGAAAGCGUGGGGAGCAAACAGG